rnacentral:rRNA from 1 species
AGCGAACGCUGGCGGCGUGCCUAACACAUGCAAGUCGAACGUGAACGGGGGCAACUCCUAGUAAAGUGGCGUACGGGUGAGUAACGCGUAGGUAAUCUACCCCAGAGUCUGGAAUAACCGGCCGAAAGGCUGGCUAAUACUGGAUAGAGCGACGGAAUCCGUAAUUGGGUUUUUCGGGAAAGGGGGCUCGCAAGAGCUCUUGCUUUGGGAUGAGCCUGCGUCUCAGUAGCUAGUUGGUAGGGUAACGGCCUACCAAGGCAUUGAUGGGUAGCUGGUCUGAGAGGAUGAUCAGCCACACUGGAACUGGAACACGGUCCAGAAUCCUACGGGAGGCAGCAGUGGGGAAUCUUGCGCAAUGGACGAAAGUCUGAAGCAGCCACGCCGCGUGAGUGAAGAAGACCUUCGGGUUGUAAAGCUCUGUCGGGCGGGACGAAAGGUUUGUGGGCUAAUACCCCAUAGAUUUGACGGUACCGCUAAAGGAAGCACCGGCUAACUCUGUGCCAGCAGCCGCGGUAA